AGACCCCAGGUAGACUACCUGGUUGAUAGGCCCCGCGUGUAAGACCCGUAAGGGUUUAAGCGGAGGGGUACUAAUAGGUCGAGAGGCUUGACCAUAAAU
rnacentral:rRNA from 1 species